rnacentral:other from 1 species
AGAGUCCUAGGGUGUUCGUUAGAACCCUAUAUGUUUUGAGCCAACACUAAUAAGUAAGGGAGCCUGAUUCAAAGUUUUCAUUUGGCGUGCAAGCCUCCAUCGUGAAGAGGACGUACAAAGAAUGAAACAGGGCACCCACCUGCGAGAGCAGGUUCAAAACAAAGGAGAAACGACGGCACAGUUGGGACUCUU